AAGAGAAGAGAUGGCCUCGGCCUUCAACAUCCAAAAAUGUAGUAGCAAGACAAGUCUGGACGAGUCUGAAGAUAACUAGAAGUUCAAGGCCCUGCAUGACCCCUGACAUUGAUUAUUUGAAUGAGAGUCAAUCCACAAACAAAGCAGGAAUUUUGGUGAAAUUUUAGGACAAAAUGACCCAGACUGAGGCAGUGACCCCACUAUGCAUGGCCUCAAGAACUAGAUCUCCAAAACUGUAUAUGGGGAUUGUGUUGUGUGGGAGGCAGAGGAACGUCCUCCCCAAAAUGUCCACAUCUUAAUCCCUGGGGUCUGUGAAUAUGUUGGGUGGUAAAGGGGAAUUAAGGUGGCAGAUAGAAUUAAGGUUGCCAAUCAGCUGGCCUCAAGAAAGAAGAUUAUUCUGGAUUAUCCAGGUGGGCUGAAUGGAAUCAUAAGGAUCCUGAAAGUGGAAGAGGAAGGCAGAAGAAGAAUCAAUGUCAGAGUGGUGUGAUGUAAGAAAGAAUGACCAGCCAUUUCUGACUUUGAACAUGGAAGGGAGUCAUGAGCCAUGAAAUGCAGGCAGCCUCUGGAAAUGGAAGAGCCAUGGAAACAGAUCCUUCCCAAGUCUUCAGCAAGAAUACAGCCCUGCUGAUACUUUGAUUUUAGUCCAGUGAGAUCCAUCUCAGAUUUUUGACUUACAGAGUUGUA